rnacentral:rRNA from 1 species
GACGAACGCUGGCGGCGUGCUUAACACAUGUAAGUCGUACGGUAAGGCCCUUUCGGGGGUACACGAGUGGCGAACGGGUGAGUAACACGUGAGUAACCUGCCCACAACUUUGGGAUAACGCUAGGAAACUGGUGCUAAUACUGGAUAUGUGCUCCUGCUGCAUGGUGGGGGUUGGAAAGCUCCGGCGGUUGUGGAUGGACUCGCGGCCUAUCAGCUUGUUGGUGGGGUAGUGGCCUACCAAGGCGGCGACGGGUAGCCGGCCUGAGAGGGUGACCGGCCACAUUGGGACUGAGAUACGGCCCAGACUCCUACGGGAGGCAGCAGUGGGGAAUAUUGCACAAUGGGCGCAAGCCUGAUGCAGCAACGCCGCGUGCGGGAUGACGGCCUUCGGGUUGUAAACCGCUUUCAGCAGGGACGAAGCUUUUUGUGACGGUACCUGCAGAAGAAGCACCGGCUAACUACGUG